AUUGAACGCUGGCGGCAUGCUUUACACAUGCAAGUCGAACGGUAGAGGGGGCAACCCCUUGAGAGUGGCGAACGGGUGAGUAAUGCAUCGGAACGUGCCCAGUCGUGGGGGAUAACUACUCGAAAGAGUGGCUAAUACCGCAUACGACCUGAGGGUGAAAGCGGGGGACCGAAAGGCCUCGCGCGAUUGGAGCGGCCGAUGUCAGAUUAGGUAGUUGGUGGGGUAAAGGCCUACCAAGCCUACGAUCUGUAGCUGGUCUGAGAGGACGACCAGCAAAACUGGGACUGAGACACGGCCCAGACUCCUACGGGAGGCAGCAGUGGGGAAUUUUGGACAAUGGGCGCAAGCCUGAUCCAGCCAUGCCGCGUGCGGGAAGAAGGCCUUCGGGUUGUAAACCGCUUUUGUCAGGGAAGAAACGCCUUAGGAUAAUACCUUGAGGUAAUGACGGUACCUGAAGAAUAAGCACCGGCUAACUACGA
rnacentral:rRNA from 1 species